rnacentral:lncRNA from 1 species
CACUGCAUUAGCUUAGUUAUUCUUUCUUUCUGCUGCCUACCUCUGGAUCUUUUUCCUGACAAUUAGUAGAUCAUGACACACAAAUUUUUCACUGUGACUUCAGUUGUACAAAUAAAAUUGGCUUUUGUAAUGAUCUCCCCUCCUUUCCAACUCACUGGAUAGUAGAGAAACUCAAACCUGGCCAUUAACAAUGUAUCUGUCUUUUCCCGUUUCAUCAGUCUCCUUUCAUGUUAAGAACAAUUGCUUUCAGAGUUCUACAGCCUCCCCCUUCUUCUCUUAGGAAGUACCUUGGUGUAUGAAGGAGUUGAUAGGGUCCUUUGAAUCUCUUUUAGUAUCUUUUGCAGAAUGGUGAGCUGGGCUUGGCUAGAACCAGCAUCCUCUGAGGUGCAAAUGGCCCCAUCCAGCCUUUUGGAGUGUGAUAGCGUUCAUUGCUACUAACCACUGACUUUGCCAUUCCCUCUAGUCAUUGAGUGUCGUAUCCUCAGGGGCUUUCUCUUGCAGAACUUAGAACUAUUCCAAUCCCAUGGUUUUCUUAGCACUGGGGCAUGCUGCCAGCAUUGGGAGGCCAGGGGCUAGUCCUCCUUUGCCUUCUUUCUCUCUCUCUCUCUCUCUCUCUAUCUCCCUCUGUUGCUUGCGUCAUUAAGCAAGUAGCUCCUAAGUCUAGAAGUAGCACACAUAACUUCUACCUACAUUCCCAUUGGCUGCUGAAAGUACCUCAAGCAGGUCAUUUGCUAUAUUAGAAAUCAACAGCCUUCCUCUGUUGUGCCUUGGGAAAUAAGCCACUAACCCUGAUGUUCUUGGUGUCCCCUAUACUUUCUUGGAAGCUUCUAUGGCACCUUGACCCUACUUCUGGAGAUGUACACUCAAGUCUGGGUAGAAAAGGGGUUGAUUCCUUAUCUUGGCUAUUGUGAAUAGUGCUGCAAUAAACAUGAGAAUACAGCUAUCUCUUUGACAUACUGAUUUUCUUUCUUUUGGAUAUGUAUCUAUCAGAGGGAUUGCUGGAUCAUAUGGUAUUUUUAUUUUUAGUUUUUUUUUUUUUUCUUUUUUUGAGGCAGAGUCUCACUCUGUCGCCUAUGCUGGAGUACAGUGGCACGAUCUCAGCUCACUGCAACCUCUGCCUCCCAGGUUCAUGCCAUUCUCCUGCCUCAGCCUCCCAAGUAGCUGGGACUACAGGUGCCCACAACCACGCCCGGCUAGUUUUUUGUAUUUUUGAUAGAGACGGGGUUUCACCGUGUUAGCCAGGAUGGUCUCGAUUUCCUGACCUCAUGAUCCGCCUGCCUUGGCCUCCCAAAGUGCUGGGAUUGCAGGCGUGAGCCACCGUGCUUGGCCUAUUUUUAGUUUUUUAAAGAACUUCCAUACUCUUUUCCAUGGUGACUGCACUAAUUGACAAGAAAUGGGAAUCUUGACCUUUGUCAUCUUUGUUCUACUUCUGUCUCUCUCUUGCUUCCCAUAAUUCAUAUGGGAAGCUCCCCUCUUCUUUCUGUUUGGGUAAGACUUCCCUAACGGCAGACUCUUCUUCUACUUCCCAAACUUACCUUGGCUCUUCGCCCUCCCCUAGAGUUCUAGCAAAAUGGCUGCCAUAGAAUACUGUUUACAGAGAACAGGAAUGCAACACACAUUGACUUAGAAAUAUCAAAUGAUAAUUCUUACUACAUCUAAUCUCUAUCAGAUGGCCAAGAGAAAAGAGAAGAGAAAAAGACAGAGAAGAGGCCAUAAGAUCCAAACCAUUUGGUUAUUAGAUGGCAAUCCCACUGAAUGAUUUGAUGGGAUAUUAACUAAAACUGUUGGUUUAAAUGGAAGUUUUAAAUAAUAUGAGUAUACCAUUAUAUGUGUGUGCAUAUAUAUAUGUAUGUAUGUAUAUGCAUGUGUGUGUAUAUAUAUAUAGACAUAUAUACACAUACACAAACAUGCGUGCAUGCACACACACAGAGAUACUCUUCCCUACUCCUCUGGAUGACUGAGAGUUGGUUAUAACUACCAUUUAAAACAAAUUGUUAUUAAAAAUAGAUAAUUGGGAGCCUAGUACAUGGAUGAUUCAUCAAUAAUGGUAGCAAGAAGUUGGAAGGAAACAUUAAAGAAGGGGUAGCAGAAACCAUAGCAGAAAUUGUGCUUACACUGAUACAUUCCCUGACCUCUAUGUGGAUUCAUCCCACUGAGAACAUGCUGCUGGAAACACAGGAAAAGCCUGUCUUGGCGACAGCUCACGAUUCCUGUUAUUCACGCAGACUCCCUCCUGCUUUUCUGUUUGAACCCACUGACACCUGAAUCUUUAAUCUUGUGGUUCUGCAUUCUGAUUUCCGAAACCUGCCUCAACCCUCUUCAUCUGAAGCUUCAUUUGAAUCCUCUUCUCUGACUCUGACCCUCAGAAUCUUCUCUCUGUGAGCAUGACAUUGCUUUCAUCCACCUAAACCUGUGUGCAAGAGCAAGCGCCUCCUCUCCCUGCUUGCAGGAUGCAUACCUGCUGGACCAGCCUGCCUGGAUUUCUUGCAAAUGAUGGGCUGGGAAGAACUGUGGAGUCACGUGCUCAUCAAUUCUGGCAGUGACAAAAUAUCUCCAACAAAAAACACUGCAGACAUUCUUGCAAGACUUUACUUAUCAACAGGCAAGUAGAAAACAAGUAGAAUUGGCAAGUAGAAAACAGAUGCAAAAUUUAAAUAACUUUGCAUGGAGUCAUAGAAAGAGAAUUGGAAUCAAUCUUAGAAAUCACCUAGUACAAUGCUCAUUUUUCUUAAGAGUGCACUGAGGUAUUUGAAAGUUAAUGGAAUUACUACUUAAGAUUAUAUAGUUAUUUGUUACCAACAUUUACAAUCCUACCAUGUAUGAAUGUCAUUAACAUCAUCACUUGGAGGGUGGCAAGAAUGCAAUGUUGAAUGACUGAAUGUAAUAGACUUACUAUUGCAAGAGGCUGUUAAGUAUGCCACAAAUUACAACCAAAUCCUUCAUCUUAUCUCACUAGUAGCACUGUAUUCGUCAGUUCGUGUUUCUUUAUAGAAAUACCUGAGGCUGGGUAAUUUAUAAAGGUUUAUUUGGCUUACAGUUCUGCAAGCUGCACAUGAAGCACAGUGCCAGCAUCUGCUUCUGGUGAGGGCCUCAGAAAGUUUCCAAUCAUAGUGGAAGGCAAAGAGCCAUCAUGUCACGUAGCAGGAGAGGGCACAAGGGGGCGGGAGAAGGUUCCACACUCUUUUAAACAACCAGAUCUUGCAAGAACUUACUCACUGCCACAAGGAGGGCACCAAGUCAUUCAUGAGGGAUCUGCCCCUAUGACCCAAACACCUCCCACCCACCGCCAACAUUAAGGAUCACAUUUCAACAUGUGAUUUGGAGGGGAUACACUCCAAGCCAUAUCAAAAACUUUUAGCCAAGGAUAACACAUAAGGGACUUCCCUAUUAAGAUUAAGUGUAUGAACAACAAGCAUGGCAUAUGUUCAUUGCAGCACUAUUCACAAUAGCAAAGACAUGGAAUCAACCCAAAUCCCCAUCAAUGAUAGACUGGAUAAAGAAAAUGUGGUUACAUAUACACCAUGGAAUGCUAUGCAACCAUAAAAAGGAAUGAGAUCAUGUCCUUUUCAGUGACGUGGAUGGAGUUGUAAGCCAUUAUGCUCAGCAAACUAACACAGAACAGAAAGCCAAACACCACAUAUUCUCACUUAUAAGUGGGAGCUAAACAAUGAGAACACAUUGACACAGGGAGAGGAACAACACACACUGGAGCCUGUUGGGGGAGGGUGUGCGUGGGGGGAGAGCAUCAGGAAAAAUAGCUAAUGCAUGCUGGGCUUACUACUCGGUGAUGGGUUGAUAGGUGCAGCAAACCACCAUGGCACACGUUUGCCUACGUAACGAGCCUGCACAUCCUGCACAUGUAUCCCAGAACUUAAACUUUAAAAAGAAAAAGAUAAAGUGUAUGUCUGUUUCCCCCUAGAUGAUGUGUGUCCUUAGGAUUAAAGAGUGUGCCUCAUUCACAUUUGCCUCAUGACUAAUACUGUGUUUGACCAGAGUCAGUGUUUAGCAAAUUCUCAGUAAUUUAAAUGGAAUGAAAAGGGACCAUUCCUCUGUUUUGCUGUAAUGCGUGAAUUCCUAAUUUGAGGUCCAUAGGUGAUCUUCAGAAUGUCUGUGAAUUUCCUGAAAUAACAUUCUAAAUUGUACAUGUGUGUGUUUGCACUUAUACAUCCCUGCUCACUCCAGGAGACAUUACGGUUUUUGGCAGCAGCAUCUCAAAGGGAUUAAAAGAUUAGUUUAGCAAAGGAAAGACUGACAUGUUGAAUGCACGUGUUGACUCACUGAGUUCCCCUGCAGUCUUCGGAGGUCCUGGAGGGCACGGGGCCAAAACAGCUAGAAAUGGGAAUUCCUCCAAACAGAAGCUUCGGCAUCACUGAAGAGAGGGAAAUGGCUCAGAGUGAUCAUGAUGGAGUGGUUGUAACUCUCCAGCACCUAUUGGAGAACAAAACAAGAUAAAUCACAGUGAGCCUAAGGGCAAGAGGCACAAAGUCUGACUCCACCUUUCUCCAACAGAAGAGCUGUGGACAAAUAUCUGUACCUUCUCUCAUUCCUCUUUCUCCAUACAGAGAUUUGUUAUUUCUCUCCACUCAUAUGACAUUCCUGCCUCAAUGAAUCAAUGAAACAUUAUUAGAAAGGAACAAACAAACAUUAAAUAAAGUUCAAAAUGGAAGUGAUUCAUGUGCUUAAGCUAUUUAAGCCAGAUGCCACAUAAAGUAUUUCUCACUGAAAAAGACCCCAGGAUUAGCUGACUACUCAAGUCUUUUCUCGAAA